AGGGAGAAAAAUUGUUCUUCUUAACCUCUGAGGAUAGGACAAGAAGCAACGGGCUUAAAUUGCAGCAGGGGAGGUUUAGGUUGGACAUUAGGAAAAACUUCCUAACUGUCAGGGUGGUUAAGCACUGGAAUAAAUUGCCUGGGGAGAUUGUGGAAUCUCCAUCAUUGGAGAGGUUUAAGAGCAGGUUGGACAAACACCUGUCAGGGAUGAUCUAGAUCAUACUUAGUCCUACCAUGAGUGCAGGGGACUGGACUAGGUGACCUCUCGAGGUCCCUUCCAGUCCUAUGAUGCUAUGAUUGCCCAGAUGGGGAACUGGGGCCCAAGGGACUUGCCCGCGGUCACAUAGGAAGGCUGGUGUAGAACAGGGACUAGUACCCCUGUUAUAGACUAGUGCUCUAACCACUGGGCAGCCCAUCCUCUCACCCCCUUUGCUUCCUGCUCUCCUGCCCUCCAGUUCUUCCUCCCCUUUUCCUGGGCUCCAUGGGGAGCAUCUGGGAGAGGCUUGGUGCAGACCAAGGCGGGCUCCUGGCAACACGCCCUCCCUGGCUGGGGAAGCGACUGGCGAAGGCAAUAGCGAUGUAGGGACCCCCCCAACGCUGCCCCAGCAGCAGCCGAAGUGAGCUGGGGAGGCCGGGAGCCCGGGAGGGAGGGGAGGGAACUCUCCCAGCCCACCUUAAGCCGGCAACGUAGGGCUGAUUCAGGCAGGCAGGGAUGACCUUAGAAAAACAAGUUUGUGCGGAGCCAGGCAGGGCCCCGCCGCACCAGCCCGGCAAGCUACCUUAAAUCGGGGCUGGGCUGAGAGCCGGGGGGUGGGGGGUGUUCUCGGCACUGGCGCGCGGUGCAAGCAGUCCUGCCUGCUAGGCAACGGGGGGAGGCGGGUGUCUGCACAGCUCCAGCCGCAGCAGCUGGGAACCGGAGCGGGAGACAGGGCGGCCGCAGGAGCCGGGCUGCAGGUCCGCGCGCUGCCUCUCCCGGGGGCGCCCAGGGCGCGCGGCUGCAGCGCCCCGGGGCUGAGCGCUCCCCCUGCGGCUGGCUGCCCCGGUGCGCCCCGGCAGCCGCGGGCUCCCGGCUGCUCCCCGCCGCCGCGGGGGCGUUGCAGCGGCUGGUUCGCAGGGGUCGCCGCGCCCGGGAUUUGGACCGCGCCUGGGCAGAGCCCACCGCCUGCGGCAGGUGGGUGGCAGCUCCCCGGGCAGGAUCGGCCCGCGGGGAAGUCCGAUUCCUCUUCCUCCUUUCGGGCUGGGGCCCCAGCGUAAUUUCCUCCUGCCGCUGGCCGGCCCCUGCUCUUCACGCAGCUCUUCUCCUUUCUGUCCCUGCCAGGCGCCAGCGAUGGAGGCUCUCGCCAGCCCUGCCCGCUGGGUGCCCUACGUGCUGCUCCUCGCCCUGCACGGCUGGCCGGCAUCAGAACCAGGUUGGGAUUGGCAGGAGAGUAUAGCUGAGAACAUUGUCACCCAUUAAGAAAAGGUCAGUACGAAAGUGAGUCUCACAUCCCCUCUAACUGUAACCCCAGCCAUUUCUACUGAUCACCACCAGGAAAGUCACACUUGUCUGGAGUUUAUUUUCCUAAUAUCGUUACAAAAAACACCCAUAAGGUGACUAACUGCCUGAUUAGGAGACAAUUAUUUUCUUUAGUUUGCAUUUGGCACCACUUUGUAUGGCAUCAGUUUGGCUGCUCUGUUGAUGUCUCAUUCGUUACCAGGAUGACGUCGCUUUCCAGCUCGGCCCCUCACUCCCGCACCUCCCCAUCCUGCAGGAGGGAGUUUACCAGUAACUCAGCAGCACUGCUACUGCUGUUGCGGAGUUUGGAGCCAGGAGGACAUCUCUUCAUGGGAGCCCUGUACAGAGACUGGGGACAACAGGAGCUGGGGGGAGGGACGUGGUGGCUGGAAGAACUUCCCCCACCCUUUCACCAUUCAGAACUCUGGGUAGAACGUACGGGGCUGAGACCUGCUACAUCAGGUGUAACUCAAGUGACAUAACUACUCUCCACACAAGAUACCCUCCUGUACUGAGCUCAAACCUGUACAACUGGGGGCUGGAGGACC
rnacentral:lncRNA from 1 species